GAGUUUGAUCUUGGCUCAGGACGAACGCUGGCGGCGUGCUUAACACAUGCAAGUCGAACGGUAAGGCUCCAGCUUGCUGGGGUACACGAGUGGCGAACGGGUGAGUAACACGUGGGUGACCUGCCCUGCACUUCGGGAUAAGCCUGGGAAACUGGGUCUAAUACCGGAUAGGACCGCACCGUGAGGGUGUGGUGGAAGUUUUUCG
rnacentral:rRNA from 1 species